rnacentral:lncRNA from 1 species
CUGAAGGGUUGGCUGAAGCUCUUAGAUCUGUUGCAAGCUUACAGUUAUGGAACUUUAUGGGGUUUUCUCUGCCUGUGUCCUCCCUCUUCUCUCUGGAGAGCUCCAGUCUGAAAUCUUCUGACAUGCACUGUGAGAAGAGUGAGGGCAGAUGCUACCGAAGUCAGUUCUCCACAAGAGGAAACCGGAAAACAAAAUUCCAAAAAUAUAUCAGGAGUUUUGGAUUAAUUCUAUGAAGAAGGAUUUACACCGAGCACAGCACACUGGACUUUCAGAAUUGGUGACAUCUAUGCGUCUUCCUGGUCUGAAAACUCCCCCUGCUUUAAGCCCGUCCUCUGUGUUGAGCCCACCAGGACUACAGGCUACGCCAUACACUCUAUGGCAGAAGCUACCGCAAGUAAAGAGUCUGCUGAACUCCCUCAGUGUGCAUGAGAUCCAGCUUCAGGAGGUGUGUAUUGCAGAACACUAACAAGUCUUGCAUGCAAAAUGUGACCUUGGUCUGAUGCCUACUGUUAUGCCACAAUUCUUAUCCCUCUGUUUUUGUGCUUUCGGUCAAGGCCAUGUUUGAGCUGAUUGUGUCAGAGGCCUCGUAUCAGAAGAGUCUGAUAGUAGCACAGAAUGUGUUUCAGUGCUCAGCUGAACUCCAACAGAU